UGUUCUCCGGCUGAAAGAAUAUAAGAGCACAUGCCUGAAUCUACGGGAGACAUUUGUCAUGUUGAUUGGGAACUAAUGCUUGUUUCUGCAAUAGAGGAAAUUCUAGAAGCCAGAGCGCAGAAUGAAGUGAAAGGUAAAAUUAUGGGGCAUCAAUACUGAAUUAAGAGUAUGAAAAUCUCAAGAUUUCAGCGACGGUCAAGACCUCCAGCUCAGUGUCCGGAAGGAGCCGGGCAGCGGGCAGCGGAAUGAAGCACAGACAGUGAAGCGGAGCCAUGCUCUUCGCCACCCACCUGGAGGCACUACUCCAAUACCAUCAUCAACCUCAUAAUCUGAGAUGUCACUAUCACUGAUUCGCUGAGAUCCUGCACAACAUUUUUUGCUGGAGCUCUCUCCAUGAAUAUGCCGCCUUGGCAUGAACGGGGACGGCUGAGGCAGAGGUAGUGAAGAUUCAUCAUGUGUCUGGAGUUUAUACCAAUGGGGCUCAUCAUCUAAAAGUGCCGUUUCCAAUUCUAUGAGGAUCUGAAAAGGCAGUUAGUCCUCAAAUGAAACACAACAUGAAAGUACUCAUGGCCAACAGGUAUGUCAAAAGCCACAAUAAGCAUCUAACGUGACUCUCCAGGAAAUACAUCACCUCUCCAAGGAAUUCACUCUCUUCCUCUUGGACUCUUGGCUGAUCCCACACGGUAAUUUCUAACAUUCGCUCUCGGAAAUCCCUCCGAUGUACGUGGGAGUAGACAAAGGUUUGGUUCCAUUUUGGUUCUAGAAUUUUCUUCACUGUCUUCGUCCUUCUUUUGCUUUUGUCGCUGAAAAAUAAAGAUGUUUCCUAAAUGA